GAUGAACGCUGGCGGCGUGCCUAAUACAUGCAAGUCGAGCGAACAGACGAGGAGCUUGCUCCUCUGACGUUAGCGGCGGACGGGUGAGUAACACGUGGAUAACCUACCUAUAUGACUGGGAUAACUUCGGGAAACCGGGGCAAAAACGCUAUAAUCUAUUGAACUGCAUGAUUCCAUGGUAAAAGAUGGUUUUCUGGUAAUUUAUAGCUAGCUCAGGGCCGCAUUAUCUAGUUGGUAAGGUAACGGCUUACCAAGCGAACGAUGCGUAGCCGACCUGAGAGGGUGAUCGGCCACACUGGAACUGAGACACGGUCCAGCCUCCUACGGGGGGCAGAAGUAGGGAAUCUUCCGCAAUGGGCGAAGGCCUGACGGGGCAACGCCGCGUGAGUGAUGAAGGUCUUCGGAUCGUAAAACUCUGUUAUUAGGGAAGAACAAAUGUGUAAGUAACUAUGCACGUCUUGACGGUACCUAAUCAGAAAGCCACGGCUAACUACGUG
rnacentral:rRNA from 1 species